rnacentral:lncRNA from 1 species
UCAGCAGCAUUGAGGAGAGGAAGAAGCGGGGAGAGACCAACAAUGACCUGUUUCUGGCAGAUGUGUUUUCCUACCAGGGGAAGCUCCAUGAGGCCGCCAAACUGUACAAGAGGAGUGGGCACGAGAACCUCGCACAUGAAAUGUGUUGGAAGAAAAGCUGAGUGUUGGGAGAGAAGCUGAGGCAGGGCUUGCAUGUUUGCUAGACUUGCUGCUCCUUGCUUCUAGCA